GACGUUGUUGAGGGGCAUCUCUUGACAACCAAAGGUGUGAUUCCGCCCGAGGACGGGCUCACGUGGUAUUAGCUAGUUGGUAGGGUAAUGGCCUACCAAGGCUCUGAUGCCUAGGGGGUGUUAGCGCACGAUCCCCACCACUGGGACUGAGAUACUGCCCAGACACCUACGGGUGGCUGCAGUCGAGAAUCUUCGGCAAUGGGCGCAAGCCUGACCGAGCGAUGCCGCGUGGAGGAUGAAGGCCUUCGGGUUGUAAACUCCUGUCAGGGGGGCGGAAAGCCGGGAGAGCUAUCUCUCUUGGUUGACUUAUCCCCAGAGGAAGCACGGGCUAAGUUCGUGCCAGCAGCCGCGGUAAGACGAACCGUGCUAACGUUGUUCGGAAUCACUGGGCUUAAAGGGCGCGUAGGCGGUGUGUCAAGUCGGCGGUGAAAUACUUCAGCUCAACUGAAGAAUUGCCGCUGAAACUGGCACGCUAGAGGGAGGUAGAGGUGCGUGGAACUUCCGGUGGAGCGGUGAAAUGCGUUGAUAUCGGAAGGAACACCUGUGGCGAAAGCGUCGCACUGGACCUCUUCUGACGCUGAUGCGCGAAAGCUAGGGUAGCGAACGGGAUUAGAUACCCCGGUAGUCCUAGCCCUAAACGAUGGGUACUAGAGAGUAGAUGCUCCGAUGUGUUUACUCUCGAAGCAAAAGUGCUAAGUACCCCGCCUGGGGAGUAUGGUCGCAAGGCUGAAACUCAAAGGAAUUGACGGGGGCUCACACAAGCGGUGGAGCAUGUGGCUUAAUUCGAGGCUACGCGAAGAACCUUAUCCUAGGCUUGACAUGCAGGGAUGCCUCCGGGGAGACUCGGUCGGC
rnacentral:rRNA from 1 species